GUGCCGCAGCUAACGCAUUAAGCACUCCGCCUGGGGAGUACGACCGCAAGGUUGAAACUCAAAGGAAUUGACGGGGGCCCGCACAAGCGGUGGAGCAUGUGGUUUAAUUCGAAGCUACGCGAAGAACCUUACCAGGUCUUGACAUCUUGCGCCAACCCUAGAGAUAGGGCGUUUCCUUCGGGAACGCAAUGACAGGUGGUGCAUGGUCGUCGUCAGCUCGUGUCGUGAGAUGUUGGGUUAAGUCCCGCAACGAGCGCAACCCUUGUUACUAGUUGCCAGCAUUCAGUUGGGCACUCUAGUGAGACUGCCGGUGACAAACCGGAGGAAGGUGGGGACGACGUCAGAUCAUCAUGCCCCUUAUGACCUGGGCUACACACGUGCUACAAUGGACGGUACAACGAGUCGCGAACUCGCGAGGGCAAGCUAAUCUCUUAAAACCGUUCUCAGUUCGGACUGCAGGCUGCAACUCGCCUGCACGAAGUCGGAAUCGCUAGUAAUCGCGGAUCAGCAUGCCGCGGUGAAUACGUUCCCGGGCCUUGUACACACCGCCCGUCACACCAUGAGAGC
rnacentral:rRNA from 1 species